AGAGUUUGAUCCUGGCUCAGAAUGAACGCUGGCGGUAUGCUUAAUACAUGCAAGUCGAACGAAAUAUUUAGCACUUGUGUUAAAUAAUUUAGUGGCGAACGGGCGAGUAACACGUAAGAACUUACCCCUAGGCGGGGUACAACAGUUGGAAACGACUGCUAAUACCCCAUAUUACCGGAAGGUGAAAGAAGCAAUUCUCCUAGGGCGAGGCUUGCGUCUGAUUAGCUAGUUGGUGAGGUAAUGGCUUACCAAGGCGACGAUCAGUAGUUGGUCUUAGAGGAUGAUCAGCCACACUGGGACUGAGACACGGCCCAGACUUUUACGGGAGGCAGCAGUAAGGAAUUUUCCGCAAUGGGCGAAAGCCUGACGGAGCAAUACCGCGUGAAGGAUGACGGGCCAUGGGUUGUAAACUUCUUUUCUUGGAGAAGAAUUCUGACGGUAUCCAAGGAAUUAGCAUCGGCUAACUCCGUGCCAGCAGCCGCGGUAAGACGGGGGAUGCAAGCGUUAUUCGGAAUUAUUGGGCGUAAAGCGUCUGUAGGUGGUGAGGAAAGUGUUUUGUUAAAGAUCAGGGCUUAACCCUGGGAAAGCAGAGCAUACUAUCUCACUUGAGUUCGGUAGGGGCAGAGAGAAUUCCCAGUGUAGCGGUGAAAUGCGUAGAUAUUGGGAGGAAGACCGGUGGCGAAGGCGUUCUGCUGGGCCGUAACUGACACUGAGAGACGAAAGCUAAGGGAGCAAAUAGGAUUAGAUACCCUAGUAGUCUUAGCUGUAAACGAUGCACACUAUGCUUUGCAAUUUGCAGAGCAAAAGCUAACGCGUUAAGUGUGCCGCCUGGGGAGUACAUUCGCAAGGAUGAAACUCAAAUGAAUUGACGGGGACCC
rnacentral:rRNA from 1 species